UUUCAGUCGAUGUCAAAGCAAAGAAUAUGUUUAUACAACAGACAACGAAAACGACGAUGGUAUUUCUAUGCAGAAACAAGCAAUGAACCCAGACGCACUAAAUGCUGAGGGCCCAAAGCGUUCCACCGAUGAGCUAGUGUACGCUGAUGUCGAUGUCGAGCACUUGAACAAAUGUCGUGUAGGAAUUCGUGCGUGCAAUGACGACGAGUUGACGGAGUAUUCUGACAUUGUAUUUGGUACAACUUGUGGUGUUAAACCUGACACAUCCAAUGAAACUGUGUAUACCACUUGAGUUGAAGUGUUUUCAACAAUAAUCUUUUGCAAGGGAUGGAUUCAGUUCCCUUUGGGAUGAUAUGUUUGUUUUGUGUAUAUUGCAAAUACGCUUAAUUGUUGUUAUUAUUUGUGUUCUUAUCAUUGAUAUAAUAUUUAGCGUGCGGGAUAUCUUUAUGAUGUGAUUGUAUGUGUUUCUAUUUCUGGGUACCUAUUUUACAAAAAUGUAUCUUCUUUCUGUUUGUAUUAGUAUGCUUCAAUACGUUAUAAUUCUCAAGCAUUUCAAAGACAUAUACAAAUCUGAUUAAUACAGUUCUGUUUGAUCAAAUUUCUUCAUAUUGAGAACAUUUUAAGAGAUAUUGGAUAUAACUGGGACUUUGUUUGUAUGUAUGCAUUACUUUGUUUUAACAACUGACUUUUGAUGGGCGUUACUAAUUGUAGCCAGAAGCUAAUUUUAUUGCGAAAAGAAAUGGAAUACAAUUUGGUGCCCAAUAUGUGGUGGUCAUUUUACAAGUGAAGUGUACAUGUAGAUUCUCUGAGUAUGUAUAUGAUUUGUUAUGUAUAAAACGCAUUGAACAUAUACCAAUUUAUUGAAGUAGUACUUGGC